rnacentral:rRNA from 1 species
CUCCCGCCGGCGACCGGCGCACGGGUGAGUAACACGUAUGAAACCUGCCCGUAGCAGGGGGAUAAGCGGAAGAAAUUCCGUCUAAUACCGCGUAACAACCCGAGGAGGCAUCUCCUCGGGUUUAAAGGAAGCGAUUCCGGCUACGGAUGGUCAUGCGUCGCAUUAGCUAGUUGGCGGGGUAACGGCCCACCAAGGCGACGAUGCGUAGGGGUUCUGAGAGGAAGGUCCCCCACAUUGGAACUGAGACACGGUCCAAACUCCUACGGAAGGCAGCAG